rnacentral:lncRNA from 1 species
AGCUGUCUUGUGCACUGGCUGCAAGCCCAUCUUUCAAACAUGCUUCCAACAUGAACAUUUGGUGGCCAUCAUGCAGCUUGAGCACAUUGGCAAUACUUCUUUCAUUGUGCCUCUCACAUGCCCAAAACACUGAAGAGGCAUGCCCUUUGACAUCUGGAGAGGAGUGCAUUGUCAAUUUGCAUGGAAAGUCGGGGGAUGGAUACUACACAGAAAUCAUCAUCGGAACACCACCACAGAAGCUGAAGGCACUUAUUGACACUGGGAGCAGUAAUGUGGCCAUUGCUGCAUUGCCACAUCCCCAGAUCUCCAAAUUCUUCAACCAAACCAUAUCGAGCACGCUGCGGCCGCUGCACGUGUCCGUGGACGUGCCGUAUUCGCAAGGCUCGUGGCGGGGCUGCCUGGUCAGCGACGUGGUCCGCCUGCCGGAGACGAACGCGCCGACGGUACGCUGCGA